UAAUAAGGUGCAGAAUUGUGCAGAGUGGU
rnacentral:sRNA from 1 species